rnacentral:lncRNA from 1 species
AAGGAACUGAGACCCAAAGGAGUUGAAGAACUUCCUCAAGACAACGCAGUUAGAAAGUAUCAGAAACAGGAUUCAAGAUAAAGUUCUCCGAUGCCAGACACAGUUGCUAUGUUCUUUGGACUUUGGACUGUUACAUUCUCUCCUUGGAAAUGGAGCAGACUAUUCAGGCACUUAUUUUAAUAAUCAGAAGAUGAGAAGCACUCAUGAGUACUUUUAUGGUUACAAGAGUACCGUGCAUUACAAUGCCAGAACCCAAGGAAUCCGCAAGAGACCUUCAAAACCAUACCAGAAUUCCUCAGUAUGCCAUAUAAACAUAUGGAGCAGUCGAGGAGAAAAACAAGUUAGAAAUUCUACUUUUAAUUUAAAGGGAAAGCUACUUGUACUUGGGAGGGAAAAGAAAAGUGAGAAAACCACAUGGAAGACUCACAGGAUUUAAAUGAACAAUCAGUAAAGAAAACGUGCUCAGAAACAGAUGUUUCAGAACCUCAGAAUUCCAGGUCUAUGGAAAUGCAGGACCUAGCAAGUCCUCAUACACUUGUUGGAAGUAGUGAUACUCCUGGUAGCUCCAAACUGGAUAAAUCUAAUCUCAGCAACACAUCAGUUACAACAAAUGGGACAGGAGUGUCUCUUCUUGCAGUCAAAACAGAGCCCAUGAACAACAGUGAAACAACCACAACAACUGGAGAUGGAGCGCUUGACACUUUUACUGGGUCAGUAAUAACGAGUAGUGGCUACAGUCCCAGAUCAGCACAUCAGUACUCUCCACAAUUGUAUCCCUCCAAGCCCUAUCCACACAUUCUUUCUACACCAGCAGCUCAAACAAUGUCUGCCUAUGCUGGACAGACUCAAUAUUCAGGAAUGCAGCAGCCAGCAGUGUACACAGCCUACUCACAGACAGGACAACCUUACAGCUUACCCACUUACGAUUUAGGUGUGAUGUUGCCAGGCAUCAAGACAGAAAGUGGACUUUCACAAACCCAGUCACCACUACAGACGGGGUGCCUCAGUUACAGUCCAGGGUUUUCUACCCCCCAGCCAGGCCAAACACCUUAUUCUUACCAAAUGCCAGGUUCUAGUUUUGCACCAUCAUCCACUAUUUAUGCAAAUAAUUCUGUUUCUAAUUCAACGAAUUUCAGUAGCUCACAGCAGGAUUAUCCAUCAUAUACAGCCUUUGGCCAAAACCAAUAUGCACAGUAUUAUUCAGCAUCAACGUAUGGAGCAUAUAUGACUUCAAAUAACACAGCUGAUGGCACAUCUUCAUCUUCAUCAACAUAUCAGCUGCAGGAAUCUCUCCCUGGACUGACUAGUCAACCAGGAGAUUUUGAUACAGUGCAGAGCCCUUCCACACCCAUCAAAGACCUUGAUGAGAGAACAUGUAGGAGUUCUGGGUCAAAGUCCCGAGGAAGAGGCCGGAAGAAUAAUCCAUCACCUCCACCAGACAGUGACUUGGAGCGUGUAUUUGUCUGGGAUUUGGAUGAAACCAUCAUCGUUUUUCACUCACUGCUUACAGGGUCCUAUGCACAGAAGUAUGGCAAGGAAUGUGAUCAAGUUCAUAUAGAUGAUGUUUCUUCUGAUGAUAAUGGUCAAGACUUAAGUACCUACAGCUUUGCAACUGAUGGCUUCCAUGCAGCUGCAAGUAGUGCAAACCUUUGUUUGCCAACAGGUGUAAGAGGAGGGGUUGACUGGAUGAGGAAGCUGGCUUUUCGUUACAGAAGAGUAAAAGAAUUAUAUAAUACCUACAAGAACAAUGUAGGAGGACUCCUUGGCCCAGCUAAGAGAGAUGCAUGGCUGCAAUUAAGAGCAGAGAUUGAAGGUCUAACAGACUCCUGGCUGACAAAUGCACUUAAAUCCUUAUCAAUUAUUAGUACUAGGAGUAACUGUGUAAAUGUCUUGGUAACAACAACUCAGCUUAUCCCAGCACUUGCAAAAGUCCUACUCUAUAGUUUGGGAGGUGCUUUUCCUAUUGAAAAUAUUUACAGUGCAACUAAAAUAGGCAAAGAAAGCUGUUUUGAGCGUAUAGUGUCCAGAUUUGGCACUAACAUAACUUAUGUUGUGAUUGGAGAUGGCCGAGAUGAGGAGCAUGCCGCUAACCAGCACAACAUGCCUUUUUGGAGGAUAUCAAGUCAUUCAGACCUCUUGGCUCUACAUCAAGCAUUGGAACUAGAAUAUUUGUAA